CUUGCUUCCUUGUGGUCUGGCCUGGAUCCAUGAAAGGAUCCAAAGUCACUGGUUCAGGUAUGGCCCAGGGCCACCCACCCUUGGAGCUGAUUUGCAAGGCUGUGGUCCUUAACAAGCUAAGGAGAGGUCAGUCCAGAAGAUGUUCCCAGGGCACGCCUAACUUGCAUCAAAA